rfam:Oryza glumipatula chromosome 10, whole genome shotgun sequence.
UUUAAGUUCAACCAUAAUUUUAUCUUUGAUCGUUCGUCUUAUUUUUUUAUAAUUAGUUUUUUUUGUUGUUAUGAGAUGAUAAAAUAUGAAUAGUACUUUACUCGUAACUUAUGUUUUAUUUUUUUCAAAAAAUUUUUAAACAAGACGAACAAUCAAAGUUAGGCGCGGAAAACCAUGACUGCAUUUAAA